rnacentral:misc_RNA from 1 species
AGGUUGGCCCACCAAUCUGUUUAUUUGUUUAAUUCUUUUAACAAUGCAUGGGUUGUCAUACGCACGAUACUUCACAUUGCUGAGUUGCAUAAUUUUGAUUUACAUAUUGAUUUUGAAAGUGCGCUUACUUGCUGUUGAACUAUCACUUGCAACUUUCAAGCACAGAGUCAGUUUUGUUGGGAUCUAGUUGCAGUCUUCAUAAAUUGCUUUGCUUCAGUAAUUAAUUUACUAAAUUAAGAAAUGUUAAAUAUAUGUUUCAUCUUGUGAAUUGUGGAUUUUAAAAUUUCUGAGUUGAGCGUGUCAAGUUGGAUAGGACAUCAAAACACAGCUUGGAUCAACUAAAUUUUGCAAUCAGUCAAGUAAACAAGGAAAUUUCCUCCACUUCUGUCAUAGCACAGUUAGAGGUUUCAAUAGAAUGGGGGAGAAUUUUAUGGCUAUAUCUCUUGCUAUUUCAUUUAAAAGAGGAUAAGAGGAGGAUAUUACAAAGUUAACACUUUAACAAGAUGUUUUCCUCUCCACUCAAAAAUCUAGUCUUCCUUUUUGUGUGUAAUUGUGAUGUCAUUGUCAGCACUAAUACUUAUCACAUGUUUCAUGUCAGGAAGGAGAAGAGGAACAGGAGGUGGAAGAGGAAGAGGAAGAAGAUGA